UUCUGUUGUGGGUCCAUUUACAUCUUGACUUGCAACUCCCUGAGGGGAAGAAGGCUAUCUAUUGAAAGAUCCCAUGCUCUUGGGAAACAACAUUACGAAUACUGCACACAGCAUAGCAGAUACUAUGUGGGCGUUGUGUGGAGGACCUUAAAUAACGCUUUGUUCCGGAGUGUGUGGAUUGCACUGGUGGACAGAAGUGGACGGACAUCACAUUAAGGUUUUAUAAAUAAGCCCCUGAGUGCCGUUGCCAAUGGGGAGAUGAUGAUGAUGCUUAUUUGUACUCCAGUGUAUUCCUUCAAAUCCAUUGCUAAUUACAACUUCCAUGCGUUGGCCAUAUGCAGGCAGGCAUCAUGCCUCCAGAUCGGCAAGUACGAAAAUGGUAACGAAAAAAGAGCGGAUCAGGGAGGAAAGAUGAACCCUCAGAAUCCAAGUGGAUUGGAACUAGGCAACGAACCCCAUCUGUAGCUUCCAGUCAAUUUCUGGGCCCACUUCAAAUUGCUGGAUGUGACUUUUCCAGCCUAAACAGUUUGGGACCCAGAUAUUUAAAGAACCAUCUUCUCCAAUAUGAUUUUGUACAAUUUUUGAGACUGUCAGACUUUCCUGAGUCUCCCACAAAUAUCAAUGUUGAACUUAGUUAGGAAGCAUUUCAUUUCAUUCUCCCUGACAUCUUAUUCAGUAUGCUAUCUGCUGCCUCUUCUCUCUUAUUGUUGUUGAUUAUUUUGUACUAUUUUGUAUUAUUGUUUUAAUAUGUUGAUUAGACUGUAAGAAAACCUUGAGCAUUUAUUUUAAUGAAA